rnacentral:rRNA from 1 species
GACGAACGCUGGCGGCGUGCCUAAUACAUGCAAGUAGAACGCUGAAGAGAGGAGCUUGCUCUUCUUGGAUGAGUUGCGAACGGGUGAGUAACGCGUAGGUAACCUGCCUGGUAGCGGGGGAUAACUAUUGGAAACGAUAGCUAAUACCGCAUAAAAUGGAUUAUCGCAUGAUAAUCCAUUGAAAGGUGCAAAUGCAUCACUACCAGAUGGAACUGCGUUGUAUUAGCUAGUUGGUGGGGUAACGGCUCACCAAGGCGACGAUACAUAGCCGACCUGAGAGGGUGAUCGGCCACACUGGGACUUGGACACGGCCCAGACUCCUACGGGAAGCAGCAGUAGGGAAUCUUCGGCAAUGGACGGAAGUCUGACCGAGCCACGCCGCGUGAGUGAAGAAGGUUUUCGGAUCGUAAAGCUCUUUUGUAAGAGAAGAACGAGUUUUAGAGUUGAAAGUUCACACUGUGACGGUAUCUUACCAGAAAGGGACGGCUAACUACGUG